UCUGCCUGUUUUCUCCUGCAUUUUUAUGGAUAAUGCCUGGCACACUGAAGAAUUAAAUAGUUCUGCUUGCCUGCUCACCAUAUUCUGCAAUUCCCCUCCAAAGUGAGGCUUGGCUCUCAAAAGGCUUUGUUUGCCAAAAGUAUGGACUGUAACCACGUACCAGAAAGUUCCGGUACCAGAUGAACAACAACACAGUUCCGGCUUUUGUGCUACUGAGGGAGAUCAUAAAUAAAACGAUCCAGGAAGUUAUAAAUACACAAGAGAGAAAAUAAAGGAGGGGUGCUGUGGUGGAAGAGCUGAGGAGGGUUUCAGAUGAUCCGUAAGGGCGACAGAAAUGACAACAGUCUGGUAUUAGCUAGCUUUAGGGAGACAGAUCCAACUUUAUUCAGGGUAGUCAAGCUCCCCAGAGUACAUUAGAGAAGGAGAAGACCUGACGGUAAAGAGAGUCCCCCAUUUUGCUGUGAGCUCAGAAGGCCAUUUGGACAAUGGUAGACUUCAACAUUAAUUAGCAGGCCACUACCUCUUUAAGCAAGGCCACCAACAAGGGUCCAA